CAAGCUGCGAUAAGUAAUGUGAAUUGCAGAACUCAGUGAAUCAUCGAGUCUUCGAACGCACAUUGCGCCCCCUGGCACUCCGGGGGGCACGCCUGUCCGAGCGUCGUCGACGUACCCUCGGGGCCCAGCUGCCGUCUCGCGCGGUGGGGGGGCCCUGGCCUUGGGCCUGUACGUCCGCCCCGCGUGGGUGGGGCCCGCAAGCAAUGGACCGGUCGUCCCCAGGGGUCCCGAGCGCAGCGGCUGAUCCCAGGCUCGAGGAGACCCCCGGGCGAUGACCCGUUAGUGUCGAAAUCCCCUACGCGCGGGGUUCAUCCCCCUACGCGUAGCACCGUUGACCUCGGAUCAGGCGGGGUUACCCGCUGAACUUAAGC
rnacentral:misc_RNA from 1 species